UACACGCACAGAUGGACAGGAAGGAAUGAAGGAAGAAGGAGAGAAAAAAAGAGGAGAAAAUUUCCUCCGCCCCUCUCUACUUACUCCUCACGUCUUGCUGUCUCCUUCCUUUCCUCCAUCGAUCCGUUUGUUUCAGUCUCUUUUUUUUGUUCCGCGCUCUUCCAUUUUCUCGAUCGACAUUUUGAACAGCACAAACACGCACAGGGUAGGAAGGCGAGACACAAUUAAGGCAGAGAAAG
rnacentral:ribozyme from 11 species